CGCUGUGGCCAUCUGCUGGGGCGGGAAGGGCAGGUGCCCAGGGAGGCAGAGUCUGGAGCCAGCCAAGAGGAUUUAGUCUUCUGCCCCUGAGCUCCUGGACCGGGGACAGCUAGAGGGAGAGUCCACAUGGCCCUGCAGAAUGUGAUGGGGCGGCUGGGCAGGCACUCCUGGAACUGCCUGGAACUGCGGGGGGUGUGAAGAAGGAGGGGGUGGUCGCGGUGGCUGCCAAGGUGGCAAGAGGAGGACGGCUGUCCCGUGUUGCACAGGACAUGGAAGGUGAUUAAGAACUGGUCUUAUUGGUAACUGUUGAGAAAAGUUCUGAAUUAUUGGAUUAUGCACGUGAAGGGGUUGCUCUACUCUCUCAGCCUGCUCAGAGCUGGAUUCCUCUCUCUCCUCUCAGCCCUCCACGCCUGCACCGGGGACCCGCCCAGCAGUGAGCCGCGGAGAACGUUGGCCAAGCCCUCGCAGAUGCAAGCAAUGCGGGCACAGCGGGAACAAGCCAUCAUGCAAAGAAAUGCAGAUGUUCGCAGCUGGAGUCAAAUCUGCUGUGCAGGACUGGGUCAGGGCAAAGGAGGUGAGCUGGGACACCAGCAGCACCUGCUACCUUGGGGGAACCUAGAUUCCUGCCCUCAUGGAGCUUAUAGUCUAGUGAGAGAGAUAGAAA